rnacentral:rRNA from 1 species
UUAGGAAUCUGCCAUUUAGUGGGGGACAACAUUCCGAAAGGAAUGCUAAUACCGCAUACGUCCUACGGGAGAAAGCAGGGGAUCUUCGGACCUUGCGCUAAAUGAUGAGCCUAAGUCGGAUUAGCUAGUUGGUGGGGUAAAGGCCUACCAAGGCAACGAUCUGUAGCGGGUCUGAGAGGAUGAUCCGCCACACUGGGACUGAGACACGGCCCARACUCCUACGGGAGGCAGCAGUGGGGAAUAUUGGACAAUGGGCGGAAGCCUGAUCCAGCCAUGCCGCGUGUGUGAAGAAGGCCUUAUGGUUGUAAAGCACUUUAAGCGAGGAGGAGGCUCUCUUGGUUAAUACCUAAGAAGAGUGGACGUUACUCGCARAAUAAGCACCGGCUAACUCUGUGCCAGCWGCCGCGGUAAUACAGAGGGUGCGAGCGUUWAAUCGGAUUUACUGGGCGUAAAGCGUGCGUAGGCGGCUUUUUAAGUCGGA